AAUUUCUCAACCACACAACAUUGCAUGUGAUGUGUGGCUUGGAUGGUGGGGGUUGCAGGCUCUCUUGUGUGAAAAGAGAGUCAGCUCUCCUGAAAUUUAUUAGUGGUAUCUGAGCUGCUUAUCCCUAUAAGGUGUGAUAAAUUAUCUAUGCCUUUGGUUUGCUGCAUGAACAGAUUGCACUGCUUCUAAUCAGUUGGAUGAAAAACCAUAUUUGACGA
rnacentral:misc_RNA from 1 species